CGUGUCAUAAUUUCAAACUCAUUAUGUUGCAGUCUUUUCCAGUUGAUAAAAUUGCAAUUCAAAAACUUUUAGGUAGAUUUGCACUGUAUGGAUGGCAAAAGGAAGAGAACAAGAGUAUAAGAACAUAACACAUCUUAUUAUGAAUGUAUAUGUAUGUGAUCCUCAAAAAAUUAUUUUACAAAACAAGAUAGAGAAAGAGCUUUAAAAUCCCAAGGAUCCUGCAAAAUGUUUAUUUGGUGUACUAGUCGAAUAAUAGUAUCUAAAAAUAUUGAAACUGAUUGUUGUGCAGUAAAAUAUUUUAAAACACAUUACAGGCAUAAGGAUGAUAUAGAGCACUUACAUAAAUACCAAAA
rnacentral:lncRNA from 1 species